rnacentral:rRNA from 1 species
UACGGGGGGGGCAAGCGUUGUUCGGAAUUACUGGGCGUAAAGCGCGUGUAGGCGGGUCUUUAAGUCAGGGGUGAAAUGCCAAGGCUCAACCUUGGAACUGCCUUUGAUACUGGAGAUCUUGAGUCCGGGAGAGGUGAGUGGAACUGCGAGUGUAGAGGUGAAAUUCGUAGAUAUUCGCAAGAACACCAGUGGCGAAGGCGGCUCACUGGCCCGGAACUGACGCUGAGACGCGAAAGCGUGGGGAGCAAACAGG